rnacentral:lncRNA from 1 species
AGGGUCAAAUUUAAGUGACUUGAUCAAGAAAUUAUGAAGCACAGAUUAGAUCAAGAUCAAUCAAUAGAGUUUAUUAAUAAUAAAUUUGAAAGAUACUUGAUAUGAUCAAAUGAGGUUGACAUACAGCACGGAUAUCAAAGUAACUUUGGAUCAUCUUGUUAGAGUCAACAUGAGUCCCUAAAAGAUGAAGGCAGGACUUGGUACAGGAUUCAUAGAACUUUUUAGAGAGAGAAAGUCAAUUAUGAGAGAGAAAAUAGAGAGAGAAAGUGAAGAGAGAAUCUUCGUAUCCUUCAAAAGUGACAAUCAUGAUUGAGAUCAUCAGUGGUCAUAUCAGGGUGACUUAAUAUGGAUUAAUCAUGAUCGAUGUUAUCAAUUUCGAAUAAGAAUCAGAUCGAGAUCCGAUCUACUGCAUGAAUUUCAGAACAGUCUCAGAUUAUCAUAUUUUUAUCUCAAAUUUAUCCUAGGAUCUGUGAUACAAUCAGAGAGAGAGAAUGACCCUAGAGAGACAAAAAAUAUAAAAAAGAUAAAAGGGUCUAGAAAGAGAAAAUAGGAAGAAAAUCUAGAGAGAGAAAAUAGAGAGAAAAGGUAGAGAGAGGAGAGAGGAAAGAGAGAGAAAGGAGAGAGAGAAAUUUUCUCUCUUCUUUUUUUUUUCUUUUUUUAUUUUUUUAUUUUUUUUAAAUAUCACGCCCUAAAUUCGGGACAUAACACGGUCAUACUACCGAGAGAUGGAGCCCACGAUAACACGAAGCCAAUCCAUCAUAAUCAUCUAAAAUUCAUCAAAUAAAAAGAUUCAAUUCCAUUAUUCAUCAAAUAAUCGAACCAAUAUUGGUUCAGAGCAUCUAAAUCCAAAAGUAAGUACCAAUCCGAAUUUUAAUAUUUAUAAAUAACUACAAAUCCAUGAUUAUAAAAUAACUAAACUUCUGCUAUCAAAUUUUCAAGCUUGCUAUGCAGAUUUUCAAGCCUGAAUUCUUUUUACCGAUCCUAACCUUAUUCUUCUGUUCAAACAAAAAGNNNNNNNNNNNNNNNNNNNNCUUUAUCGGAUCAAGCAUAAGUUUUUCAUGAUAAUGCAAUAUUUAAAAAAUAAUAGGUAAUAUAAAAUAAAGCAUUUCAUAGAGCAUAUAACAAAAUAAGUUAUAAAUUCAUCAUGCAUGCAUAAAUCAUGUAUAUUUCACAAUCAUGAAUCGUAAAUCAUUUUCAUCAUGCAUUCAUGUCAUGUUUCAAAAUAUUGCUCACAGAUAUUCGUGCUAAGGUCACUAUUAUACCCGUGACAGGACCAUAUUUCUUAAUCAACAGAGUUCUUAAUUCAUGUGCCAACUUUAUAUCCGCUGGCAGGGCCAUAUUUCGUGUGGAUGCUAGCUCCGGAUGUCGACCUUCCCAAAGAGAUUCAUUCAUAGCCAUCUAAAAAUUUUUGAAAUCAUUAUAUCUUUUUUUUAAAGCAUACAUAUACAUAGACGAAAAAAUAAUAAAAUUCAUGCUUCAUAAUCAUGCUAUUUUCAUAAGACAUAUUCAUGAAAUCAAUGCUCAUAAUAAAACAUGCUUUUUCAUAUCACAUAUGCCGAUCCUUAUUUUAUGAAAAAUUAUGAUUUCAUCAAUAGCAAUUCUUUGCAUAAAAAUAUGAUCAUUUAAAAAUAAAUAAGGAGCAUAAGAUCUACUUACCUCGUUCAUCUUAGAUCUUCAGACUUCGUUAGAAGAAAUAACUAAUCCUAUUUAAAAUAUCAAAUCAUUAUCAAAUUUUAUUCCAUAACAUAACAAGAUUAAAUGAUAAGGAAAGAAGACUGUUGACCGGAUGUGUCGGACCAUCCAGAUACCAGGACAAUUCAAGAUCUCUGAUCUGAGGGUCAGAUUUAAGUGACUUGAUCAAAAAAUUGUGAAGCAGAGAUUAGAUCAAGAUCAAUCAAUAGAGUUCAUUAAUAAUAAAUUUGAAAGAUACUUGAUAUGAUCAAAUGAGGUUGACAUACAGUAUGGAUAUCAAAGCAACUUUGGAUUAUCUUGUUAGAGUCAACAUGAGCCCCUAAAAGAUGAAGGCACGACUUGAUACAGGAUUCAUAGACCUUCUUAGAGAGAGAAAAUCAAUCAUGAGAGAGAAAGUAGAGAGAGAAAGUGGAGAGAGAAUCUCUGUAUCCUUCAAAAGUGGCAAUCAUGAUUGAGAUCAUCAGUGGUCAUAUCAAGAUGACUUAAUAUGGAUUAACCAUGAUUGAUGUUAUCAAUUUCGAAUAAGGAUCGGAUCGAGAUCCGAUCUACUGCACAAAUUUUGGAGCAGUCUCAGAUUAUCAUAUUUUCAUCUCAAGUUUAUCCUAGGAUCUGUGAUAUAAUCAGAGAGAGAGAAUGACCCU